CGGUCGGUUUGGUCGGUUGUAGUGGCCUCGCCGCCCGGUCCGCUGUCGCAGCGCUCAUCCGCGCCGGGAGCCCUUGGCUGCGUCGCCCGGCAGCCGCGGUAAAGGUUGUGGCCAGAAAGCACGGGCAGCCUGGGACUCCUGUUGCCAUAGCAACCCAGCUACCGCCGAGGACUUCUGCGGCUUUUCCAGCCCAGCAGCAGCCGCUCCAGGUACUUUCUGAUGGCUCCACAGUGCAGCUCCCCAGACUUUCCUCACUCGGAUUUGAGGACUCGAUGUGCUGAGGCAGGACCCAGAGGGGUCCCAAGAGCCUGUCCUCUUUUGUUCAAAAUACAUCUUGAAACGUCUUUGUGAAGGCUCUUAGUUUUAAUGCAUGGAUGCUGUUAUUUUUCCCUACUGUUACUGAAAUUAAAAAGUGUUUGUCUCU
rnacentral:lncRNA from 1 species